UACAGAGGCCUCGAGCGUUAGGCGGAAUCACUGGGCUUAAAGCGGUGUGUAGGCGGGUCGUUAACGUGCCUUGUGAAAUGCCCCUGGCUCAACCAGGGAACUGCUUGGCUAUACUGGGCGAUCUUGAGCCACCUAGGGGCAACUGGAACAGACGGUGGAGCGGUGAAAUGCGUAGAUAUCGUCUGGAACGCCAAUGGGUGAAGACAGGUUGCUGGGGGUGUGCUGACGGCUGAGACACGAAAGCCAGGGGAGCAAACGGG
rnacentral:rRNA from 1 species